GGAAAAGUAAUGUAAGGAACAAUAAGAUCACAUCUAUUGCUUGCUAAAUGACCUCUAGCGGUGGAACGGGGAAAGGGGGAUGGAAUCCUGAUUGCGAAAGUAUGGAUAACAUUUGUCUGUAGUGAUUUUGUGUGCGAAGUGUUUCGAUGCCUUAUUAACGGAUUUCGAAGAUAGAAAUAAUUGCAAUAACCGUUGUAGUGAAAGGAAAGGUUGCCCAAAAUACGUACAUUGUAAACAUUUGAAUUUUGGGUUGAUCUCUGGACAUUCUACUCGAAUUGCAUGCGAUUAGACCUUAAAAUGGUUUUCAGCCUAAUUUUCAGAUUUGGAACGCAUUCCGAUUUCGAUUUUGUUCCAGUGGCUCGGAACGAAACAAAAUAGUAUCGUUCUAACUUAGGAGUAAAACUCGAAACGAAAGUCGUCGAACGACAAUUAAGUCUACAACCUUCAUACAACUUAAUGGAUAAGCGUCUUGCGACUACUACUAACCGAGAAUUUCAUGUCUUUGCUUUUGGUGUGAGCUCUGGACAACAUGAAGAGAAUGAAC